GACGAACGCUGGCGGCGUGCCUAAUACAUGCAAGUAGAACGCUGAAGCUUGGUGCUUGCACCGAGCGGAUGAGUUGUGAACGGGUGAGUAACGCGUAGGUAACCUGCCUGGUAGCGGGGGAUAACUAUUGGAAACGAUAGCUAAUACCGCAUAAGAGUAGAUGUUGCAUGACAUUUGCUUAAAAGGUGCAAUUGCAUCACUACCAGAUGGACCUGCGUUGUAUUAGCUAGUUGGUGAGGUAACGGCUCACCAAGGCAACGAUACAUAGCCGACCUGAGAGGGUGAUCGGCCACACUGGGACUGAGACACGGCCCAGACUCCUACGGGAGGCAGCAGUAGGGAAUCUUCGGCAAUGGACGGAAGUCUGACCGAGCAACGCCGCGUGAGUGAAGAAGGUUUUCGGAUCGUAAAGCUCUGUUGUAAGAGAAGAACGAGUGUGAGAGUGGAAAGUUCACACUGUGACGUAUCUACCAGAAGACGCA
rnacentral:rRNA from 1 species